GCUUUUCUCCUCUACCAACAAUUACGGCAUUUUCUGCUAAGGAGAUUUAUUUGUACUUCAACCAUCAAUACUUAAGUAAAAUUAUUGUGCCGACAAGGUGAUAAUCAGACAAGCAUAAACUCUCUAGCCCCUAUCUGAUUUUAUGAUUGACUUCUGGAGGAGGCAUAUCCAUGAUUAUUUGUUUUAAGCAGUGUUUUCUGCCUUUUGCCUGUCACUAGUUAAAGUGGGAUGUCACGCGCUGCCCAAGUCUCGUUAAUUUGGAAUAUUUAGUUUCAAUGAGGAGUUGCACACUGGUGCAUGGGAAGCUCCACGUAGUGCAAGUUUUGAAAGACCACACUUAAACAUCCUUCCUCGUAUGCAUUUGUCUAGGAGGAUAUUGCUGGCUAGAAGUGGCAAAAUGGAUUCAUAUCCACCAAUCCAUCCAUAUAAACCAAUCUUAAAUGGAUUUGGAUGAUCCAUAUAAAUUCAAUGGUUUUAAAUGGAUAACCAUUUAAAUCCAAUUAUGUUGGUGGAUUUAAAUGGAUUAUCCAUCUUAUCCAUAUACAUCCAUUUAACUUAAAAAAUAGAAAACACAUUUAUAAAAAUGUGAGAUAAAAUCUUGUGUGACCAUCUAUUCUUUUCUUCAUAACUUCCUCAUAUGUCAAAUUAAUUUUGUGGGACCACCUAUUCUUUCCUUCAUAACUUCCUCACAUGCCAAGUUGCCAAUAACAUUAAUUGCAUUUUAUUUGCUUCUAGUUUCUAGACUUCUUCCAUCCUUUUCAAAAUUAUAUUUUAGUCUCUACUCUUGUUUUUUUUAAUUAAACUCUCAUGUAGUAAUGAUUGCAAACAUUUAUAUUCUUAAGUAAAGAAAAAGCGAGAAUGCAUCAUGCAGUGUCAAAAUAAUUUUUAUUUUUUUAAUUCUUUUAUUUAUAAAAAGAAUUUUUCUAACGAGUGUCCCCGCAACAUUGGUUAAGAUAUGUAAAUGACAAUUUUAUUUAUUUUUUCCAAAUCCUAGUACUUGCAAUCCCUCUCCCCUUAUCACCUAACCCAACUAUCCAAAAAAAAAGACACCUAAUUUAUUAAGUAAUAUAAGGUAGCUUGUGUAUCAAUGGUAUAAUAAGGAAUUUCAUACAUUUUUAGGUACUACGUGCACAUAUGAUGAAAAUAUUUUACUUGUCAAAUAAUAUAAGAUUUCUUGUUAGAACUGCACUUUUAUUCAAGACAUCACUCUUGAACAGGAGUGCAAAAAAUUGGAAACGUAAACUUCUUUUCACUGUAAAGCCGUAUUCAAUUCAUUCAAAAGUUAUAAAAAUGUAGCCAAGUUCUUAAUUGUUCAUUACUUUACAAAAUGAUACUUAAAGUAAUGACGAAAGAUUAAAUUGACCACAGCAGUUAAAUUUUCUUGGAACUAAACUAAUUUUAUGAAGUACUGAAAUAGAGUAGUAGUACAAGCAUUUGUUAUUACCAAAAGAUUUUAGGUGAUUUAAGAAUAGAACUUUGGGGAUAUGUAUUUUUUGGAAAAAAACAUUUGGAUCUUAAAUUUAGGAUUUGGGAGAGUAAAUGGAUAAAUGGAUGGAUCAUGGUUUACACUAUCCAUUUAAAUGACAUCCAUUUAGAUCCAUUUAUUAAAUGGUUUUAAUUGGAUUGGAUCAAUUUGAUCCACUAUCCAUUUAACUAAAACCAUUUAUCAACCAUAUAUCCAUUUUGCCACUUCUAUUGCUGGCCAUAAAAUGAAUAAUUGCAUUGCAUCCACCAUUGAGGUAAUCUCUGAGACAAUUAAAACCAAUUGCGGAAGCAAUGGAUACACAUUGCACGGUAGCAAUCAGACGAAACUUUUUUAUGCAUGGCCACAUUCGUCUCGACUCUUCCAUAUCAUUAUGGUUCGCCAUCUCAGCCGAGUCCGCGAUGGCUCGGCCGAAACAUAACCGGAACAAUGGGACCAGUACGAUACCGAUUCAUGAAUUGCAGAUUUAGCUAUAUUCGAGAUGACUCAUAAUAACUUGGCCGAUAUCGGAUGAGUUGUAACGGUUUUGGUGUGUAUCGUUGAGAAAUCAGCAAGUCGGACUGAGUUGUAUCGGAAAUGGAACCAAAAAAGUUUUUGGCUGUAGAGGGACAAAAGCUGCAGCUAACAGGGAGAUGAAGUAAUGAGAGAAGAGUAGUUCUAUUGUGAGAGUUAAUGUGGCUGUGUGUGAGAGAGAGUAAAAAAAGAAUAAAAAGGGAAGAGACCACCAGCCUUUGUGGUGGUUGGUGGUGGUUAUGGAGGAAACAAAUAGAAGCAACAGCAAUGGUAGUAGUAUGAGGAGUGACGUUAAGGAAGAAGAAAAGAAAAGGAAAAAAGUUAUAAGUUGCUCCUUAAUCUUUUUAAAAUUAUGAAUCUGCCCCAAAAGUUCCUUAAACUAUAUUACAACAUAGGUAUAUUUUUUAUGAUCACUUUUGCCUACUAUCAAUUUCAUCCUUACUAACUAGAUUCAUCUUAAGCUCUACAUUUGGUGUUUUAUUUAAUACUAGUUUGUUAAUGAAAAUUGGGGCACAAAGUAAUUUUGCUACUAUAAUUAUUACUUUUAAUGCUACAAGGCCAUGGCUACAGUAGCAUCACUUUAUCUCAAUAUUAGUUUGUAUAUAUAUGAUAAUAUGAUAUUCAACAAAUCUAAUUAGAUAAUUGUGCUUGCUAUGUUAUUUUCUAUUUUUAGUAAUUUUGUCAGAAUUUUUUAAAACUUUUAUGUGCUAUCAUAUGCAUAUCACCUAAUAUAUAACCGAUAUGCCGUGACGAAUGCGGAAUAACCGCGAUCACGCCGCAAUCGCGACCCGCGAUGGCAAACCAUGAUAUCAAGAUUGAUAAAUCAAUUACCUUUUUGAAGCUGGUUGUUGUCAAUGUUAUCAAAGGCAUGAUUCUCUUCUAUUGCAUCAUCCACUUCUACCAGGUGUUGAUGAAGUUGCUGCAAUGACAGUAAUAUAGUGGCUGAGAUGAAAAAACUACAGUUAAGGAAAAGAACAUCAGACCAUAAAGUCGUAGUUGUUUUCUACUAUUCUUGGUCUCCCAUUUGUGUAACUUGAUAAUUCCUUGAUCUAGUCUGCCUGUGAUACUCCAUCACCAAAUCGGCAAGGUAUUGGCUGUGUUACUACAAUACAUUAUCAUCUCGAACUCACAAGGCCAAGUAACGCAUCUUUCACCCUUUAUUUUCCUUCUCUAUAGUUUUUAAAAAAUGAGGAGCCUUCAAAAUAAAGUCAGUAUCACAAUAAACACAACAAAAAAUCCAAUAUGAGAUUGCAACAAAACCUCACAAUAGUAUCAAUCUAUACACCUAAGCACCGUCAAUUGCAUGGUUGGUCAUCAGUGUAGAUCACUGGUUUUAUUACCAAACUGUUCUCAGUUUCCUAUUUGUUUCUAACAUAUUACUGCCCACUAUCUUGGCAAUUUUUAGCAAAAUAAAAAUGAUUUAUAUGUAAGUAUAUGGAAAAGAUUCAGAUAACUUGGAAGCACAAAGAGAGUCUGGAGUGGUUGUAAACUAACUUCAUUUGAAGGCAGGCUCCACCUUUUGCCGUAGGAAUUUCAGCAGCCAUUGAAUUUCAAAACUCAAAGGUUCACAUGUUAAGCUAAUUGUUUCAAUUUUUUGCACCAAGAUCCAUCUUCAACAUUCAACUUUAUUAAAUCACACACGAACAUGGCAGGUACUUUUAUCUGAAUUUCUAAAGCAAACGCAGAAAACCAAAGCAGCUCUAGUCACAUACAACCUCUACUCUAAGCAAAAACCUGAGAUUGAAAAAUGAACAAAACUGGGGAAAAAAUCUGAAGAAAUCACAUUUUGCACAGUGAAACGUAAAUCGAUAAGAAUGCACACCCUUAGCAAUAUUAGCAUGAAAAUAACCUUCAAAACUUCGAAACUGUAAGUUGUUUAAACAUGUCUCGAGAACCCCAAUUUCCUACCCACCAUAAAAUUUCCAAGAAAAAAAAAUCUCAAUUUCCUCAAGCAUGAAGUAGCGUUUAAUUCUAAGACCGCGCAUGGCAAGCAGGACAAGAACUUACGACGCAUGAACUCUAACAACCAUUCUAUUGUUACUUCCAAAAUCAGGACUGUAAUAUGUAUAUCUGCAUUCCAUACCCCCAAGGUUGCAAAAAAUUUACUCUCACAUGCAAAACAAAUACCACCAUCAAUCAAAAGGAAUGGUUAACAAGACAAAUUGUUCUGUGAGGCAGAACAAAGCAAUAGAGUACAUAUUCCAACAAGAACCCAAAAUGCUCAUUAAAAAUCAAUUUGGUUCUUAACUGAAAAUGGUCAUUACUCCCACAUGCAAAACAAAUAUCAUCAAUCAAAAGGAAUGAUUAACAAGACGAAUUGGUCUGUGAGGCAGAACAAAGCAAUAGAGUACAUAUUCCACCAAGAACUGAAAAUGGUCAUUAAAAAAUCAAUUUGAUUCUUAGCAGGGUAACAAAAGUUUAAUUAAUAUGUAAAGUUUACCUGAGCAGCUUUUGGUGCAUUUCUAGGCAUUCACAGGUAGUAUGGAACUGAGAUGAAAAUGAAGCUUGUAGACCUCAUGCAUUAGUAGUUUUUUGCCUCAUUUCCUUUGCACUUCAGUUAUCCAGUUAUCUGAUACACAUUAGACAAGACCAACAUCGAAAACACUGGAUUAAUACAAAUUAAAACAAAAAAAAAGUCAUAAUAAAAUUUCGCGAAGUAGAGUAAUUAGUUGAAAUUUACAAGUCCAAUUGAAACAGCAAGCGGCGAGUCGCUCUUCUGGACAUGGACUCUACGGUGGCCACGCCUCAUGUAGAGCGUGUGGGUCUUAUUUCUUCUCUUACCAAAGCUCGCUUUUCGCUUAUCCCUUGCUGGUUACUGUUAAAUUCAUGAGUAAAAAAUUAUGUUUUACGUUAAUUUAAGAGAGAAGAAUAAGUAGUUAAUAUGUAAGGGUUCGAGACUUAAUAAUUUAAGUUUUUGAAUCAAAGUUGGAUUUCUGACUUACAUAUUGAGCUAUUUGAUGAAUUCUCUCGAGACGUUUCUCUCUAACAAGUGGUAUCAGAUUUUUAGGUUGUGACUCUAAGCUAUUUAAAGAGUUUGGUUGGUGUUGAACCAGUUGUGCUAUGGGUUUGGCAGGGGAUUCGGUUGGUGUUAGACCAAGAAACUAAGGGUUGGCAGGAGUUCAGAAUCCAGUUUGGAUGUUAAACAAGCUACUCAUGGGCAAGUGAAUUCUUUUCGAAGAAAAGCUUGUAUACUAGGAUUUAACGUGAGGUUUAAUGUGAGGGGUUAUUCAUGAAGGUAGAAAUCUGUUAGAUUCAUGAGUAAAGAAUUAUAUAUCACAUUAAUCCGAGAGAUGCAAGGGGAGAUCUGUUAAAUUCAUGAGUAAAGGAUUAUACCGUAUAUUAAUUCAAGAGAUAGAGAACACUUCAUAUGUAAGUAAGGAUCUAAAAUCUAAUAGUUUAAUCUUUUGGAUCAAAGUUGGGUUGGUGACUUACAUAUGACCUGAAACCUAAUAACUUAACUUAUUGGAUCAAAAUUGAGUUCUUGAUUUACAUAUUAAAUUCUUUGAUAGGCUCUCUGAAGGCGUCUGUCCCUAAUAAUUAUGAUAUGCAGGAUCCCAGGAGGAUACUCUGGUUUUCUAAGAAGAAAUAUAGAUAGCACAUACCUGAGGUUGGAGGAUUUCUAAAGUGGUUGAGAUUGAGAAGAUGAGAAUCAAAAAGAGGUUGAGGAGGAGGCAGCGGUGUUAGUAGAUUCAUUCAGUAGAGAGAGAGAAAUGUGAGUUGCAGCGGCAGAGAACCUCCAUAAGCCCCUCUGGCGGUCGAUCGGUGCGGUGGAAAGGGGUGAGGUGAGAGCAGAGAGGAGUAAAAGGACGCAAAAUUCAACCCUGUUAAUAAGUAAAAAUACACAGGAACGGUAUAAUAGGCAUGUAAGGGUACUACGGGUAUCCAUGUGCAACACUUUUGAGCAUAGCACACAAUUUCUUCGACACAAUAAAUAAAUGUGAAAUUACAGGGAAUAGAUAACUACUGAAGGUGUCCACAGGGACCAGAUUUACUCUUCAUAACUCCAACUCCAACGCCCCUUUUUCCUUUUGUUGGGAAUUGGGAUAUGCAGCAAUCAAAGAAGGAUCUCUUGCUGAAGAUGAUUAAUUCGGAUUUACUUUUAUUUGUUUCAGUAAAAAGUCUAGAAUAUGUCUAAAAACUACAGAUGUAGAAACAUCUGGAGACCAUAUACAGUGGCUAAUGCAUAUCAUUACUUUGUUUGGCUGUCCCGUUUUACC
rnacentral:lncRNA from 1 species